GACGAACGCUGGCGGCGUGCUUAACACAUGCAAGUCGAACGGAAAGGCCCUGCUUUUGUGGGGUGCUCGAGUGGCGAACGGGUGAGUAACACGUGAGUAACCUGCCCUUGACUUUGGGAUAACUUCAGGAAACUGGGGCUAAUACCGGAUAGGAGCUCCUGCUGCAUGGUGGGGGUUGGAAAGUUUCGGCGGUGGGGAUGGACUCGCGGCUUAUCAGCUUGUUGGUGGGGUAGUGGCUUACCAAGGCUUUGACGGGUAGCCGGCCUGAGAGGGUGACCGGCCACAUUGGGACUGAGAUACGGCCCAGACUCCUACGGGAGGCAGCAGUGGGGAAUAUUGCACAAUGGGCGGAAGCCUGAUGCAGCAACGCCGCGUGCGGGAUGACGGCCUUCGGGUUGUAAACCGCUUUCGCCUGCGACGAAGCGUGAGUGACGGUAAUGGGUAAAGAAGCACCGGCUAACUACGUG
rnacentral:rRNA from 1 species